rnacentral:rRNA from 1 species
GGUGAACGCUGGCGGCGUGCCUAAUACAUGCAAGUCGAGCGAACAGACGAGGAGCUUGCUCCUCUGACGUUAGCGGCGGACGGGUGAGUAACACGUGGAUAACCUACCUAUAAGACUGGGAUAACUUCGGGAAACCGGAGCUAAUACCGGAUAAUAUAUUGAACCGCAUGGUUCAAUAGUGAAAGACGGUUUUGCUGUCACUUAUAGAUGGAUCCGCGCCGCAUUAGCUAGUUGGUAAGGUAACGGCUUACCAAGGCAACGAUGCGUAGCCGACCUGAGAAGGUGAUCGGCCACACUGGAACUGAGACACGGUCCAGACUCCUACGGGAGGCAGCAGUAGGGAAUCUUCCGCAAUGGGCGAAAGCCUGACGGAGCAACGCCGCGUGAGUGAUGAAGGUCUUCGGAUCGUAAAACUCUGUUAUUAGGGAAGAACAAAUGUGUAAGUAACUAUGCACGUCUUGACGGUACCUAAUCAGAAAGCCACGGCUAACUACGUG